AGCAUUACAUACUAUGGCAAGAAUCAGUACAAAUAAAAAACAAGUCUUUGGAAAAAAGGUAAAGAAAGAGAAUCCUUAAAACUUAUGUAAUGUGCCCAAAGUUGCAUAGCUGACCUGUUGAGGCAAAAGACAGGAGAGAAAUAAUUGAAGAACAAGGUAAUAGCCAAAAAAGUUGGGUUCUUCUUAGGAUAAUGGCUCAAGGAGCUCCACAAUCAAGGAACAGAAAUAAAGAGCAUACUAAUUGGCAAGAAAUGUAACUUUCACUAUUUGCAGAUGACACGAUCUUCUAUGUAGAAAACCCAAAAGGCUCCACCAAAAAAUUGUUAGAAUACAUGAAUUCACCAAAG